rnacentral:rRNA from 1 species
UACGAAGGGGGCUAGCGUUGUUCGGAAUUACUGGGCGUAAAGCGCGCGUAGGCGGACGUUUAAGUCAGGGGUGAAAUGCCGGGGCUCAACCUCGGAACUGCCUUUGAUACUGGACGUCUGGAGUUCGGGAGAGGUGAGUGGAGUUCCGAGUGUAGAGGUGAAAUUCGUAGAUAUGCGGAGGAACACCGAUGGCGAAGGCAAUCCCCUGGGCCUGCACUGACGCUCAUGCACGAAAGCGUGGGGAGCAAACAGG